GACGAACGCUGGCGGCGUGCUUAACACAUGCAAGUCGAACGGAAAGGCCCUGCUUUUGUGGGGUGCUCGAGUGGCGAACGGGUGAGUAACACGUGAGUAACCUGCCCUUGACUUUGGGAUAACUUCAGGAAACUGGGGCUAAUACCGGAUAGGAGCUCCUGCUGCAUGGUGGGGGUUGGAAAGUUUCGGCGGUUGGGGAUGGACUCGCGGCUUAUCAGCUUGUUGGUGGGGUAGUGGCUUACCAAGGCUUUGACGGGUAGCCGGCCUGAGAGGGUGACCGGCCACAUUGGGACUGAGAUAGGGGCCAGACUGCUACGGGAGGCAGCAGUGGGGAAUAUUGCAAAAUGGGCGGAAGCCUGAUGCAGCAACGCCGCGUGCGGGAUGACGGCUUUCGGGUUGUAAACCGCGUGCGCCUGUGACGAAGCGUGAGUGACGGUAAUGGGUAAAGAAGCACCGGCUAACUACGUG
rnacentral:rRNA from 1 species